AGCUUCUGGAGUCACUGUGGGUUUGUUUCUGACUCUCGUUGCUGUCUGUCUAUGGAUGAGGAGGCGAACCACAGCUGUCAGCAGCAGGAGUGAGGAGACCAGCGCAAAACAUGAUUCUACUCCUGUAGAUGAUAACUUUUCAGCCUUGGACAUACCCUCUGACCCCACAAAUGACGACGUUCACUACUCCAACAUUAAUUUCACACGCUGCCACACACAGGAAAUAUCUCUAUACUCUACUGUCCAACUAACAAUGGCUCUUAGUCAAGAAGAAGAAGUCGAGUAUG
ensembl:lncRNA